rnacentral:rRNA from 1 species
GACGAACGCUGGCGGCGUGCUUAACACAUGCAAGUCGAACGGUAAGGCCCUUCGGUGUACACGAGUGGCUAACGGGUGAGUAACGCGUGAGUAACCUGCCCUUCACUCUGUGAUAACAGUUGGAAACGGCUGCUAAUACCGUAUAUUCAGCUCCUGUCGCAUAGUGGGGGUUUGAAAGUUUUGGUGGUGGAGGAUGGGCUCGCGUCCUAUCAUCUUGUUGGUGGGGUGAUGGACUACCAAGGCGUCGAGGGGUAGCCGGCCUGAGAGGGCGACCGGCCACAUUGGGACUGAGAUACGGCCCAAAAUCCUACGGGAGGCAGCAGUGGGGAAUAUUGCACAAUGGGCGGAAGCCUGAUGCAGCAACGCCGCGUGCGGGAUGACGGCCUUCGGGUUGUAAACCGAUUUCAGCAGGGACGAAGCGCAAGUGACGGUACCUGCAGAAGAAGCACCGGCUAACUACGUG